GAAAGGUGAAGACUUGUUCCUUUUGAAGCAGAAGGGUCUCUCAUUAAAGAGACAAAAUAUUGUCCAUUAAUUAUUCAACUAAACUUUGUUAUAUGUGUGUUUGGUUUGUUGAAAGGCAGUCUGUGCUUUCAAAGAGUAUUCAGGCAAGUGUAAUGAGAGGUGAUGGAAGGAAAGUGAAAAGUGGAAUGAUGGAGGAGAUGCAUCAGAAGCAUCCCACAGGAGAAAGUAUUUUCACUAUGGAAGUGCUGCCACCCCCUGCCCCAUGUAAGUGCUGAGGGAAGCAAGCACUAGCAAAAUAAUUUUUUGCUAGCAGGUCAUGGUCUGGGCUAUCAAGAAUUUCUUUUACUCAUCUCACCCUAUGAAUUAUUUAAGUGGACUUUGUACAGGUGAUACCACUGUCACACAAGCAGUUAAUUUAAUCCCACUGUGAUGAGACAGCAGCCAGUGCCAGGCACAGUGUGGCCACUGUCUGUCCCCAGUGACGACACUGGGCACUUGCACUCUGACCUCUGAGGGCAUCCAAUGAGCCAGGAGCAGCUGCUGCCAAGUGUUGCAUCAAUCUCACCUUACAAGUGACCAACAAAGUGCUGAAACCCACUUUUUUUCCCUUGUAACAGCAAAACUUCCUUACCGCGUAAAACUGCAGUUAAGCUUUAUUGAGUGAUUUGUUCUGAUAGAGCUCACAGCCUUUGCUCAUAGCUCCCCCAGUUAUGUCCUAGCCAAGGGCUGAAGGGCAUGCAGGGCCUGAUUUUUCAAAGGUGUUUGUCUGGGAUGAAGGAGAGGAAGCAGUGGCUCUUUACAGAAUAUCCCAAACAGCAUUCCACUAAUUUAAAUGCAAAUCAGUUCUGAAUCUGCAGGAUAUCAUGAGACUCCACAGCAGUCCCAGUAUUUAAGGAUGGUUUCAGGUGUUCCAGACAACAGUAGAAGCAUGACACUUCACCUGGAUGUGACCUCAAGAUUGAGAAAGUGGAAGCAAACACACUGGGACAGGCCACUCAGGAUGCAGUCAACCAGAUUACAGAUGCAAGCCAGAAAGCUUUUGACAAGGCUUCCAAGACAGCACAAGAUGGAGUAGAAAAAGUGACCGGUCAGGCUGCAGAAGCAAUGUCUGGCUUUGGGAAAAAAUGUGGAUUUAAAAAAUGAUGCUUUUUUUUAAUUUAAAAAAUAAUUCAAGUCUGCCUGUAUAAAUCUCUCUUUGAUCUGCUAUUACUUACUUCUUUGUGUAGAAAAAUGAAAGCUGUUUGAUACCUGGAUAAUUUUGUUCUUCUCAAAUACAAGCUUUUGAGGCAGAAGGUCCCCCUCAUCCCUUACAUAGAAAAAUGUAAUCUUUUAGCACGUCUGCUCACAAUCAUCAACAUGGCUCAAAAGGUUUCAGCAAUACUAUUGCCCUGCUCUUACAACAGCUCUGUGAUUAUUGCCACAUUUGCUGAGUGUUAUUUACAAAGUCAGUGAAACUGUUCAUAAUUAGGACACCGGAACAGUCAUGUGAUGAAACUGAGUCUUCUUCCAAUCAUCAAAAAUUAGCUGGGGUUACAUUUCUUGUCAGUUGUUUGUUUGUUUCCAUCCUCUACAUUUUUAGAUUAAGAUAAAUAAAAGUACUGUAAGAUUUCC
ensembl:lncRNA